GAGAGAUUGGGUAUGAGGAGAGUGAACGUGGAAAGAGGCGCCCAAGUAGCUUGUUAAACUCGUUGAGCGCUGUUUCUGGCCCGUUGCUUCCCCCGAUCACCUCACGGGGGCUUAACGAGGAAGGGAAAAAAAACAACAACAAAAAAAACAAAAAAAAAAGAAACCCUUUAUUUAUAUAAUAUAUAAAAAAAUUAUAUAUAUAAAGUAGUUUUUUUUUUUCUUUUAUUCUGAUCGGGCAACGGCCAGGUUAGAGACAGUUUAUAUUAUAAUUAUAAUUUUUCUGUUCAUUAUUAAUUAAUAUUACUAUUAUUUAUUAACCAUCUUUAAUUAUAAGCCCUAAACACACACACACACACUCAAAAUGGUUUAAAUAUAUAUACAUAUAUAUAUACAUAUAUAUAUAUAUUUGUAUUAAGAUCGCCUUCUUCCUCAAGUGUUUUGGAUUAUUAUAAUUUAUAUUACAUUGCGCUUUACAGCACGUUAUACAUACGUGUCUGCGCGUGUCGCUAUAUAUAUAUAUAUAUAUAUAUAUAUAGGGGAUAUUUUCGAAGAUCAAAACCUCUAUCCCCGUUCUUUGUUACCUUUCAAGGUCCCACAACAUAUUUACAUACAUACAUACAUAUAUAUUUCUAUUCACACUCACACAUACCCAAAUAUAUACACACAAUUUUUUUUUAUUGAUCUGUAAACCAAAAAAAAAAAAAAGAAAAAAGGAAAGAGAGAAAAAAAAUAAGGAAUCUUCUGCCCCUUUUUUUUUGUUUGUUUGCAUUUUUUUUUUUUUUUUUUUUUGGUCGUUGGGGUACCCCUACCCUCGGGUUGGCGGUGUCUCGUCUUAUCAUCCUGUGUCGAUUUGCGCUUAGCGUUUAAUUCUUGUAUGACGGAUCUUUAAUUCUGCAAAACAGCCCCACAGAAAAUUAAAAGGGAUUACACACACACUUAUACACAUAUAUAUACACAAAAGCAGUCGCUCAUAUAUAUAUAUAUAUAUAUAUAUAUAAAUAUAAAUAUAUAGCCUGCUACACGUCAAGAAAAUUUUACAAAUCUCUUUUGAAAGAAAACAAAAAAAAAAAAAAAAAAGGAGGAAAACAUGAACCAACCGCUAUCAGCAUGGAGCUUACCACUACUACUACGACUAUUGCUACUACUAGUAUUAAGUAUUUCUAGUACUUAGCAAUUUGUACUAUUAUUAUUUCUACAAACUACUUUCGUCUUCGUCUUUUUUUAAUAUUUACCAAUUUCAGGUAA
rnacentral:lncRNA from 1 species